rnacentral:rRNA from 1 species
UACAGGGGGUGCGAGCGUUACUCGGAAUUAUUGGGCGUAAAGAGCGUGUAGGCGGUUCGUUAAGUCUGAUGUGAAAGCCCCGGGCCCAAUCCGGGAAGUGCAUCGGAUACUGGCAAACUAGAGUGCAGGAGAGGUGAGCGGAAUUCCAGGUGUAGAGGUGAAAUUCGUAGAUAUCUGGAGGAACAACAGUGGCGAAGGCGGCUCACUGGACUGUAACUGACGCUAAGGCGCGAAAGCGUGGGGAGCAAACAGG